rnacentral:rRNA from 1 species
RUCAAACGGGCUCGGCCGUUAGUAAGUGGCAGACGGGUGAGUAACACGUGGGUAACCUGCCCGGAGGUGGGGGAUAACCUUCCUAACGGAGGGCUAAUACCGCAUAACACCUCGAGGUCCUCGGACCUUGAGAUCAAAGCUAGCCUCUACUUGUAAGCUAGCGCCACCGGAGGGACCCGCGCUCCAUUAGCUUGAUGGUGAGGUAACGGCUCACCAUGGCGACGAUGGAUAGCCGGCCUGAGAGGGUGAUCGGCCACACUGGAACUGAGACACGGUCCAGACUCCUACGGGAGGCAGCAGUGAGGAAUCUUGCGCAAUGGGGGAAACCCUGACGCAGCGACGCCGCGUGGAGGACGAAGGCCUUCGGGUCGUAAACUCCUGUCAAGAGGGACGAAUGCUACGAGGAUGAAUAAGCCUCGUGGUUGACGGUACCUCUGAAGGAAGCCCCGGCUAACUCCGUGCCAGCAGCCGCGGUAAUACGGAGGGGGCAAGCGUUGUUCGGAAUUAUUGGGCGUAAAGGGCGCGUAGGCGGCCUGGUAAGUCAGUUGUGAAAGCCCUCGGCUCAACCGAGGAAUUGCGACUGAUACUGCCGGGCUUGAGUCCUGGAGAGGGUAGUGGAAUUCCCAGUGUAGCGGUGAAAUGCGUAGAUA